rnacentral:misc_RNA from 1 species
AAGUCGUAACAAGGUUUCCGUAGGUGAACCUGCGGAAGGAUCAUUAAUGAAUUUUAUGGCAGAGUUGUAGCUGGCCCCAAUCGGGUAUGUGCACACUUUGUUCAUUCCAUUCUCAUACACCUCUGUGCACUUUUCAUAGGUUUAGUUAUGGAUGAGGCACUUUUGUAGUGUCUUGGAAGUGACUAUCCUAUGUAUCUUACAAACGCUUCAGUUUUAGAAUGUCAUUCGCGUAUAACGCAAUAAAUACAA